GACACACGGCGGGUGCUAACGUCCGUCGUGAAGAGGGAAACAACCCAGACCGCCAGCUAAGGUCCCAAAGUCAUGGUUAAGUGGGAAACGAUGUGGGAAGGCCCAGACAGCCAGGAUGUUGGCUUAGAAGCAGCCAUCAUUUAAAGAAAGCGUAAUAGCUCACUGGUCGAGUCGGCCUGCGCGGAAGAUGUAACGGGGCUAAACCAUGCACCGAAGCUGCGGCAGCGACGCUGAUGCGUUGUUGGGUAGGGGAGCGUUCUGUAAGCCUGUGAAGGUGGCCUGUGAGGGUUGCUGGAGGUAUCAGAAGUGCGAAUGCUGACAUAAGUAACGAUAAAGCGGGUGAAAAGCCCGCUCGCCGGAAGACCAAGGGUUCCUGUCCAACGUUAAUCGGGGCAGGGUGAGUCGACCCCUAAGGCGAGGCCGAAAGGCGUAGUCGAUGGGAAACGGGUUAAUAUUCCCGUACUUGGUGUUACUGCGAAGGGGGGACGGAGAAGGCUAUGUUGGCCGGGCGACGGUU
rnacentral:rRNA from 1 species